GAAAUGCGAUAAGUAAUGUGAAUUGCAGAAUUCCGUGAAUCAUCGAAUCUUUGAACGCACAUUGCGCCCUCUGGCAUUCCGGGGGGCAUGCCUGUCCGAGCGUCAUUACGCACCCUCAAGCCCGGCUUGUGUGAUGGGCCCCGGCGUCUCGUUCGCGAGACGGGCCCGAAAGGCAGCGGCGGCGUCGACCCGAUGAGCCCGAGCGUAUGGGGACUUCUGUCACACGUUCGCGGUGCGGACCGGCGCCUGCUUGACUUUUCUGAUUAUCCAGGUUGACCUCGGAUCAGGUAGGGAUACCAGCUGAACUUAAGC
rnacentral:misc_RNA from 1 species